rnacentral:sRNA from 25 species
GCUUGGUACAGGCAGCAAUGCGCUGUAUACCCGGGCUCCCGAACUAAACGUUUAAGCGGCAUUUUCUGUCGUCGGCCCCGGGCGAGAUACCGCCUUCGGGCGGUAUUUUCGUAUCAGGA